CAGAGUACCCUUCCGGCUGUGUUCUGCCCAGGCCGAGUCUUGGGUGGCGGCUGGCUGGGAGGGUGCCCCCGCCUGUGGGCGCCAGUGAGCUGCUGCAGGUUCCUCCUGGGCGUCCAGUCCAGGAAAAAAAAAUCGAGACGAACCGAAGAAGAUGAGUCUUUCCCCGAAGGAGAUAGAAGAUGGGAAAGAUGAAAUGUUAGAAGAUCGAAAUGCCAAAACCCUUUGAUCAAGGACAGGCCUGACACAGUCACUCAGCGUGAAUUAAUAGACGUGUUUGAAGAUGUUUCGCAAAUCAGAUUGCUGCAGGAUCGCCUGUGUUGACGGCACGUCACCAGCUGAUGCAGAGAGAGCCUUGGAAGAGAAGCCAGGAAUGGGGAUCGGUGGGCUCGCCAUGGUUCUGGACCCCUUCUGCCAAGCUAAUGAGCGUUGUCCUGGUUGACCGUAACCUUGAUGUCUGCGAAAGGCGUGGCACCUUGGGAGACAGCCUGUAGAUCCCCCACCCCCACCCCCACCCCCUGCCCCGCUGGGGUAGCCUCUAGGAUUCUGUUUGAACAAGCCCUUUAACCUGUGGUUUCAGAAUUAGAUAUUUAAUGCCCUUCAAACAUUUAAUUCUCUUCACGUAGAUGGGUUUUUUUUUUGUUUUCUUUUUCUUUUUCCUCUCACAGGGCGUGCGGAAGUUCUAGGCCAGGGAUCAAACCCAUGCCACAGCAGUAACCCAAGCCACAGCAGUGACAAUGCUGGGUCCUUAACUGCUGGGCCACCCGGGAACUCCUCAAAUAGAAUUUUUAAAAAGCUUAACACCAGAGAACCCCAAACCAGUGCCCCUAAUCUGCAUAACUUGAUUGGUAGACAUGGUGGCGUAUACAGUAUUUAGAGGAAAAAAAAAACCCAGUAGAAUUUACUAUGAGUAUUUUUUACAGUCAAAGGAUUUUACAUAAAAAUCUGGAUUUCUAGCUUUUGCUACAUCCAAAAAUGGGGUGGCCUUAGGGCCACAUCCCUACGUGUCUGCAGCCAUCUGGAGAGAGGCAGCUGCUUCCUCUUGGCUGUGGCAUUUGCUCUGCUGGCUACAAGCCCCACCAUUCUUCUGGAAGUCUUCCCCACCUCUGAAGGAGCGAACAUCAUGCUGACACUUUGAAAAAAAUAGUUAAUUCUUUUUUCUUACAAAGCAUUACUUUUUUCUUAUUGGUAAAGAUGACGUUUUAUUUUUAUUUUUUAUUUUUUGUCUUUUCUCUUUUUAGGGCUGCG